rnacentral:rRNA from 1 species
UACGUAGGGUGCAAGCGUUGUCCGGAAUUAUUGGGCGUAAAGAGCUCGUAGGCGGUCUGUCACGUCGGCUGUGAAAACCCGAGGCUCAACCUCGGGCCUGCAGUCGAUACGGGCAAACUAGAGUACUGCAGGGGAGACUGGAAUUCCUGGUGUAGCGGUGAAAUGCGCAGAUAUCAGGAGGAACACCGGUGGCGAAGGCGGGUCUCUGGGCAGUAACUGACGCUGGAGGAGCGAAAAGCCGUGGGGGAGCGAACAGG